CUUGACGACCAUAGAGCAUUGGAACCACCUGAUCCCAUCCCGAACUCAGCAGUGAAACGAUGCAUCGCCGAUGGUAGUGUGGGGUUUCCCCCAUGUGAGAGUAGGUCAUCGUCAAGA
rnacentral:rRNA from 1 species